GGGGAUAUAGUUCAGUGGUAGAACUCUUACCUAGCAAGCACAAGGUCCUGGGUUCAAUCCCCAGUACCUA
rnacentral:tRNA from 1 species